rnacentral:rRNA from 1 species
AGAGAGAGACAUGCGCGCAUAUCAAUAAGCGGAGGAAAAGAAACUAACAAGGAUUCCCCUAGUAACGGCGAGUGAAGCGGGAAGAGCUCAAAUUUGAAAUCUUCAAGGUUCUACCUUUACGAAUUGUAGUUUAAAGAAGUGUCUUCUGUUGAGGUUUUGGUAAAAGUUCUUUGGAAUAGGACAUCAUAGAGGGUGAGAAUCCCGUAUUUGACCAUUACUUUCCACUUUGUGAUACACUUUCAAAGAGUCGGAUUGUUUGGGAAUGCAGUCCAAAAUGGGUGGUAAAUUUCAUCUAAAGCUAAAUAUUGGCGAGAGACCGAUAGCGAACAAGUACCGUGAGGGAAAGAUGAAAAGAACUUUGAAAAGAGAGUUAAACAGUACGUGAAAUUGUCAAAAGGGAAGCGUUUGACACCAGUGUUGUUUUUCUGAAAAUCAAUUAAAGAACUGUUUAUGCUAAGUUGUUUAGACUUUAUCAGCUAACUGUUUAGUUUUGAGCUUUUCUUUAAUGCACUUUUCAGUUAACAAGUCAACAUCAAUUUCUUUUGCUGUAAAAAAGCUUGAGGAAGGUGGCUUGAGAUUCGUCUUAAGUGUUUAUAGCCUCUUGCCUAUGCAGUCGGAGAGAUUGAGGUCUGCAGCGUAGAUCCUUCGGGGCUAAAUGCAUUUGUGCUAAGUUAUAGCAUUUUAUAGACAACUUGUUGACUAUGAUUUGUCUUGUAGCUUACUCGCUUAUGUUAUUUUACCUACGCUUAGGAUGUUGAGCGCAUGUCUCUCUCU